CCUACGGGUGGCAGCAGUGGGGAAUAUUGGACAAUGGAGGCAACUCUGACCCAGCGACGCCGCGUGAGUGAAGAAGGUCUUCGGUUUGUAAAGCUCUAUCAGCAGGGAAGAAAAAGACGGUAGUUGCCCAAUACCACCCGGCUACCUACGGGCCAGCAGCCGCGGCAAUACGACGGGGGUAAGCUAUAUCCGGCAUGAUUGGGUGGAAAGGGAGCGUAGGCGGGGAAGUAAGUAGGAGGUGAAAGCCCGCGGCUUAACCGCGGCACUGCUGUCGAAACUAUUUGGCUGGAGUGCAGGAGAGGUAAGCGGAAUUCCUAGUGUAGCGGUGAAAUGCGUAGAUAUUAGGAGGAACAUCAGGGGCGAAGGCGGCUUACUGGACGGUAACUGACGUUGAGGCACGAAAGCGUGGGGAGCAAACAGGAUUAGAUACCCUGGUAGUC
rnacentral:rRNA from 1 species